AUUGAACGCUGGCGGCAGGCUUAACACAUGCAAGUCGAGCGGAGAUGAGGUGCUUGCACCUUAUCUUAGCGGCGGACGGGUGAGUAAUGCUUAGGAAUCUGCCUAUUAGUGGGGGACAACAUUCCGAAAGGAAUGCUAAUACCGCAUACGCCCUACGGGGGAAAGCAGGGGAUCUUCGGACCUUGCGCUAAUAGAUGAGCCUAAGUCGGAUUAGCUAGUUGGUGGGGUAAAGGCCUACCAAGGCGACGAUCUGUAGCGGGUCUGAGAGGAUGAGACGCCACACUGGGACUGAGACACGGCCCAGACUCCUACGGGAGGCAGCAGUGGGGAAUAUUGGACAAUGGGCGGAAGCCUGAUCCAGCCAUGUCGCGUGUGUGAAGAAGGCCUUUUGGUUGUAAAGCACUUUAAGCGAGGAGGAGGCUACCUGGAUUAAUACUCUAGGAUAGUGGACGUUACUCGCAGAAUAAGCACCGGCUAACUCUGUGCCAGCCGCCGCGGUAACAC
rnacentral:rRNA from 1 species